rnacentral:rRNA from 1 species
CCUUCGGUAUCCGCGUUGUAACCUCGAGACACGUUUUCAGGCCGGGCAGCUAUGGAACAAGUUCCUUGGAACAGGACAUCGUAGAGGGUGAAAAUCCCGUACUUGCCAUGGAUGUACCGUGCUUUGCGAUACGUGCUCUAAGAGUCGAGUUGUUUGGGAUUGCAGCUCAAAAUGGGUGGUAGACUCCAUCUAAAGCUAAAUAUCGGGGAGAGACCGAUAGCGAACAAGUACCGUGAGGGAAAGAUGAAAAGCACUUUGGAAAGAGAGUUAAAAGUACGUGAAAUUGUCGAAAGGGAAGCGCUUGAAGUCAGCCAUGCCGCUCAGGACUCAGCCUGGCUUUUGCUUGGUGUAUUUCCUGGGUAGCAAGUCAGCAUUGGUUUGGAUCGUCGGAGAAGCAUAGUCGGAAUGUGGCGCCCUCGGGCGUGUUAUAGCCUUCUAUUGGAUACGACGAUCUAGACCAAGGAACG